GACGAACGCUGGCGGCGUGCUUAACACAUGCAAGUCGAACGGAAAGGCCCUGCUUUUGUGGGGUGCUCGAGUGGCGAACGGGUGAGUAACACGUGAGUAACCUGCCCUUGACUUUGGGAUAACUUCAGGAAACUGGGGCUAAUACCGGAUAGGAGCUCCUGCUGCAUGGUGGGGGUUGGAAAGUUUCGGCGGUUGGGGAUGGACUCGCGGCUUAUCAGCUUGUUGGUGGGGUAGUGGCUUACCAAGGCUUUGACGGGUAGCCGGCCUGAGAGGGUGACCGGCGCGAUGGAGACGGUGGGACCGCACGGGCUGCGAGGGGAGGGACGGGGGGGGAGUAGGGCAGGGGGGGCGGGGGCCGGGUGCAGAAGCGCGGGGUGGGGGAGGACGGCCGUGGGGUUGUCAACCGCGUCGCCGUGUGCGGGAGGGGGGGUGAUGGUGAGGGGUAAAGAGGCGCGGGAUAAGUCGGGGCCAGCGGGCGGUAUAAUAGUAGGAGGAGAACGCGUGCGCAC
rnacentral:rRNA from 1 species